UGGAAGUAAAAGUCGUAACAAGGUCUCCGUUGGUG
rnacentral:rRNA from 1 species